UGCAAGGGAGCCUAUUAUAUAGGCUGAGAAAGGGCUGCGAGCACCUGACCUUUAUUACCUGAUCGGGAUCAUGCCCGCGUAGGAAGCACGCU
rnacentral:ncRNA from 2 species